CCUACGGGUGGCUGCAGUGGGGAAUAUUGCACAAUGGGGGAAACCCUGAUGCAGCGACGCCGCGUGAGUGAAGAAGCGUUUCGGCGCGUAAAGCUCUGGCAGCGGGGAAGAAACACGGUUCGCGAGAGCCGCGGGCGGUAGCUGAAGAAGAAGCUCCGGCUAACUACGUGCCAGCAGCCGCGGUAAUACGUAGGGAGCAAGUAUUGGUCGGAAUGACUGGGCGUAAAGGGUGCGUAGGCGGUUAUACAAGUUAGAAGUGAAAUACCCAGGGCUUAACUCGGGUGCUGCUUCUAAGACUGUAAGACUUGAGUGCAGUAGAGGUUAGUGGAAUUCCUAGUGUAGCGGUGGAAUGCGUAGAUAUUAGGAGGAACACCAGAGGCGAAGGCGGCUAACUGGACUGCAACUGACGCUGAGGCACGAAAGUGUGGGGAGCAAACAGGAUUAGAUACCCUUGUAGUC
rnacentral:rRNA from 1 species